rnacentral:rRNA from 1 species
UACAGAGGGUGCAAGCGUUGUUCGGAAUUAUUGGGCGUAAAGGGCGCGUAGGCGGUGCUGUAAGUCUGUAGUGAAAUCUCUGGGCUCAACUCAGAGUCUGCUAUAGAAACUGCAGUGCUGGAGUGUGGGAGAGGUGAGUGGAAUUCCCGGUGUAGCGGUGAAAUGCGUAGAUAUCGGGGGGAACACCUGUGGCGAAAGCGGCUCACUGGACCACAACUGACGCUGAGGCGCGAAAGCUAGGGGAGCAAACAGG